AGCGAACGCUGGCGGCAGGCCUAACACAUGCCAGUCGAACGAACCUUUCGGGGUUAGUGGCGGACGGGUGAGUAACACGUGGGAACGUGCCUUUAGGUUCGGAAUAACUCAGGGAAACUUGUGCUAAUACCGAAUGUGCCCUUCGGGGGAAAGAUUAAUCGCCUUUAGAGCGGCCCGCGUCUGAUUAGCUAGUUGGUUGAGGUAAUGGCUCACCAAGGCGACGAUCAGUAGCUGGUCUGAGAGGAUGAUCAGCCACAUUGGGACUGAGACACGGCCCAAACUCCUACGGGAGGCAGCAGUGGGGAAUCUUGCGCAAUGGGCGAAAGCCUGACGCAGCCAUGCCGCGUGAAUGAUGAAGGUCUUAGGAUUGUAAAAUUCUUUCACCGGGGACGAUAAUGACGGUACCCGGAGAAGAAGCCCCGGCUAACUUCGUGC
rnacentral:rRNA from 1 species